AGUCGAGCGAAUGGAUGGGAGCUUGCUCCCGGAAGUUAGCGGCGGACGGGUGAGUAACACGUGGGCAACCUACCUGUAAGACUGGGAUAACUUCGGGAAACCGGAGCUAAUACCGGAUAACUUCUUUCUUCUCCUGGAGAAAGGUUGAAAGACGGCUUCGGCUGUCACUUACAGAUGGGCCCGCGGCGCAUUAGCUAGUUGGUGAGGUAACGGCUCACCAAGGCAACGAUGCGUAGCCGACCUGAGAGGGUGAUCGGCCACACUGGGACUGAGACACGGCCCAGACUCCUACGGGAGGCAGCAGUAGGGAAUCUUCCGCAAUGGACGAAAGUCUGACGGAGCAACGCCGCGUGAGUGAUGAAGGUUUUCGGAUCGUAAAACUCUGUUAUCAGGGAAGAACAAGUAUCGGAGUAACUGCCGGUACCUUGACGGUACCUGACCAGAAAGCCACGGCUAACUACGUGCCAGCAGCCGCGGUAAUACGUAGGUGGCAAGCGUUGUCCGGAAUUAUUGGGCGUAAAGCGCGCGCAGGCGGUUUCUUAAGUCUGAUGUGAAAGCCCACGGCUCAACCGUGGAAGGUCAUUGGAAACUGGGAGACUUGAGUGCAGAAGAGAAGAGCGGAAUUCCACGUGUAGCGGUGAAAUGCGUAGAGAUGUGGAGGAACACCAGUGGCGAAGGCGGCUCUUUGGUCUGUAACUGACGCUGAGGCGCGAAAGCGUGGGGAGCGAACAGGAUUAGAUACCCUGGUAGUCCACGCCGUAAACGAUGAGUGCUAAGUGUUAGAGGGUUUCCGCCCUUUAGUGCUGCAGUUAACGCAUUAAGCACUCCGCCUGGGGAGUACGGCCGCAAGGCUGAAACUCAAAGGAAUUGACGGGGGCCCGCACAAGCGGUGGAGCAUGUGGUUUAAUUCGAAGCAACGCGAAGAACCUUACCAGGUCUUGACAUCCUCUGACCACCCUAGAGAUAGGGACUUCCCCUUCGGGGGACAGAGUGACAGGUGGUGCAUGGUUGUCGUCAGCUCGUGUC
rnacentral:rRNA from 2 species